rnacentral:rRNA from 1 species
AUUGAACGCUGGCGGCAGGCCUAACACAUGCAAGUCGAGCGAGCGGCGGACGGGUGAGUAAUGUCUGGGAACCUGCCUGAUGGAGGGGGAUAACUACUGGAAACGGUAGCUAAUACCGCAUACCAUCAGAUGUGCCCAGAUGGGAUUAGCUAGUAGGUGGGGUAACGGCUCACCUAGGCGACGAUCCCUAGCUGGUCUGAGAGGAUGACCCGCCACACUGUAACUGAGACACGGUACAGAGUCCUACGGGAGGCAGCAGUGGGGAAUAUUGAACAAUGGGCGCAAGCCUGAGACAGCCAUGCCGCGUGUAUGAAGAAGGCCUUCGGGUUGUAAAGUACUUUCAGCGGGGAGGCGUUACCAGCAGAAGAAGCACCGGCUAACUCCGUGCCAGCAGCCGCGGUAAUAC